rnacentral:piRNA from 1 species
UCAGUUUCUAGAACAGUGCCUAGCACGGAGC